UACGGAGGAUCCGAGCGUUAUCCGGAUUUAUUGGGUUUAAAGGGUGCGCAGGCGGGAGAUUAAGUCGGCGGUGAAAUUUUGCAGCUCAACUGUAAAAGUGCCUUCGAAACUGGUUUCCUUGAGUGUGGAUGAAGUAGGCGGAAUUUGUGGUGUAGCGGUGAAAUGCUUAGAUAUCACGAGGAACUCCGAUUGCGCAGGCAGCUUACUAAACCACUACUGACGCUCAUGCACGAAGGCGUGGGGAUCAAACAGGAUUAGAUACCCCCGUAGU
rnacentral:rRNA from 1 species